AGGCAAAAUCAUUUCAGCCUCCUCCAUCUCCCUAUUGUCGAUCUCACAGAUCUCAUCUCCUCUCUAGGUCAAAACCCAUAUCGGCUUCCUCUCUCUGUCUCCAACUGCCGACUACAAAAUCUACCAAAAUUAGAAAAUCAAAACCCACGGCUCUCUCUCUCUACAGAUCUGCAAACUACAAAAUCUACAAAAAAAAAAAAAAAAAAAAAAAAAAGAGAAGGUCAAAACCCAUAUCGGCUUUCUCUCUCUCCAACUGCAAACUACAAAAUCUACCAAAAUCAGGAGACGAUCUCUGCAACUCCCGGCGACUUUUCCGACGAUCUAAGCAACUUCCGGCGACUAUUCCGACUAUUUCUGCAACUUCCGGCGAAUUUCCCGACGAUCUCUGCAACUUCCGGCGAAUUUUCCGUAUGGGUUACUUUUGUCAUUAGCUCCCUUUCUCUCCAAAUCUCUCCAAAUCUUGUCAAUUUUGGAGAGAUUUGGUUUUACUGUAUUGGAGGGAUUUGGAGGGAUAGCUUAUCCCUCCAAAUCCUUCCCAAUCCUUUCUUUUCUCUUCUAUUCCCUCCAUCCAAACACACCUAUCCCUAUCCUUCCCUUUCUUUUCUCUCCAAUUCUCUCUAAAUCCCUCAAUCCAAACGAGAAGGGAAAAAUCGUUGGCACAGGAAAAGAUUUUAUUGAAGUGUUUAGGGGAAUUUUUAGAGGACUCCAACAUUACGUAGACAAAAUAGGUUACCACGGGAAUUUGAUUAAUGGGGUUACUGUGCACCAAAACAAAAAAGUUAAACUUUUCUGGCCAGCCGAGAGACAGUUAGAUCCCGUACCUGGAUUUCAUAAGGAUUUUGUAGAUCUUUCAGAUCUAGUGAAGUUAGCUAUGGCAGCAGGUGAGGGAGUGCCAUUUGGGGAGGAACGUACAUAUAGAAUUGAAUGCGUAUCGCUUUUCUUGGAUAUAGUGAAAACUGUGCUACCUUGCUGCACCUCAAUGAAUCAACAAAAGAACUGUAACUGAUUGUCAAUAACAUUGAUAGGAACUUCUGGGUUUUAACAAAAAUAAACCCAAUAUUUCAAGAUCCUAUUAUGGCAGAUAUGAAACUGUUCGUAAGUUCUACUUGGUGUUGGACAAAACUGUGGCUUCUCAACAGGUAAAAUUAGAUAAAUAUUCAACAAUCAUGAAAGACUGGUAUUGGAAGCUUGAGGUGUGCGAUAGCUUUUUGAAAAAAAUCGGAUCUGAUAAAAGACAAACCUGGUGCAAUAUAAGAAAGGUGAAGUAUCUGGCUGAUUAUGAGUGUGCGAUAGCAGUUUUUGAAUUUCAUCGACAGGCGUUUGAUCACGCCAACGAGGAGAAAAGGCCAAAGAGCAAGAAGAAAAAGAAGCGGGAUAGGGCAGUCGUUAAGAAAAUUCUGAAGUCCACUACUGAGAUCUCCGAGGAGCUCUUUAGAGUUUAUCCGGAUUUUCUUCCGAAGUUUUUUCACGAGUUUAUCAUGAACAUUUACAACAAAACAAGGGGCCUUGGAGAGUGUGAUAUUGAUGUGUCAGUUUCCGAGUUAGUUGAUGACUUGACGGGGGGAGCUUACAUGGGGAUCGUUUCGUGACUGGUUGUGCUGGUUUUCUGAUUGUUGGGAUUUUAUGAUCUUAAUCAUAUUGUUUUGCUGGUUAAUUGAUGUUGGUAUUCAAACUUGGUAGUCUCUUUUGGGUUAUACAUACAGCUUUUCUCUCUCUGUGUGUGAAGGGAAGAAAACUUUUUCAUUUUGGUACAUAUACUCAGAGAAAGAGAAGCUUCUUCUGCAACAAUGGCCCUUUUGGGUACUUUAAUGUCUAUAUGAAUAAAUUCUCUCUCUCUUUUGUGGUAAAA